rnacentral:rRNA from 1 species
UGCAAGUCGAGCGUGAUUCCAAUCUUCGGAUUGGAUGAAAGCGGCGAACGGGUGAGUAACGCGUGGGAACCUGUCCUAAAGAGGGGGAUAACCGUUGGAAACGACGGCUAAUACCGCAUAUACCGUAACCGGGAAAGAUUUAUCGCUUUAGGAUGGUCCCGCGUUGGAUUAGGUAGUUGGUAGGGUAACGGCCUACCAAGCCGACGAUCCAUAGCUGGUCUGAGAGGACGUACAGCCACACUGGGACUGAGACACGGCCCAGACUCCUACGGGAGGCAGCAGUGGGGAAUUUUGCGCAAUGGGGGCAACCCUGACGCAGCCAUGCCCGCGUGAGUGAAGAAGGCCUGCGGGUUGUAAAGCUCUUUCGCCCGUGAAGAUGAUGACCGUAACGGAAGAAGAAGCCCCGGCUAACUUCGUGCCAGCAGCCGCGGUAAUACGAAGGGGGCAAGCGUUGUUCGGAAUUACUGGGCGUAAAGCGCGCGUAGGCGGUUUGGCAAGUUAAAGGUGAAAUGU